rnacentral:rRNA from 1 species
CCAAACUGUUGCCUCGGCGGGAUCUCUGCCCCGGGUGCGUCGCAGCCCCGGACCAAGGCGCCCGCCGGAGGACCAACCAAAACUCUUUUUGUAUACCCCCUCGCGGGUUUUUUUUUUAUAAUCUGAGCCUUCUCGGCGCCUCUCGUAGGCGUUUCGAAAAUGAAUCAAAACUUUCAACAACGGAUCUCUUGGUUCUGGCAUCGAUGAAAAACGCAGCGAAAUGCGAUAAGUAAUGUGAAUUGCAAAAUUCAGUGAAUCAUCGAAUCUUUGAACGCACAUUGCGCCCGCCAGUAUUCUGGCGGGCAUGCCUGUCCAAGCGUCAUUUCAACCCUCGAACCCCUCCGGGGGGUCGGCGUUGGGGAUCGGCCCUGCCUCUUGGCGGUGGCCGUCUCCGAAAUACAGUGGCGGUCUCGCCGCAGCCUCUCCUGCGCAGUAGUUUGCACACUCGCAUCGGGAGCGCGGCGCGUCCACAGCCGUUAAACACCCAACUUCUGAAAUGUUGACCUCGGAUCAGGUAGGAAUACCCGCUGAACUUAAGCAUAUCAAUAAGCGGAGAAA